rnacentral:tRNA from 1 species
ACUGGCGUGGCAGAAGGGUAACUGCGUAGCUUUCCAAUAGCUAAGGUUGCGGGUUCAAGUCCCGUCGUCAGUA